UUCCCCGUCCGAGGCGAGGCCGGCCCGCGGUGGUCGGACAUUGAUCCGCGCCGCGUUAGGGCUGCACAGCUCCACUACUCCACCACACCCAAUCACACUAUGCACAUAGCAGCCUUCUCUUCUGCUCACACCACUAUUAUCUGCACGUGUGCCAGGGAUUGCAGUGGCUGCGGGCGGGCGUGCAUGCGGCUUGCCAGGAAGCGAACGACGAGGAACGCGGCUAUUUAAAGAGGCGGCGAAGCAGGCGGGAAGCGAGAGGGACGCCAUGGCGCUUGGCUUGCGGUGAGCUGGUGCCCCGGGAGCGAACAACACUGCCCAGGUCCAUCCAAUGUGUUAUGUCAUGCAUGCUGACAGUGUUUGAACAUCAAAUUGAAGUACCGCCAAUUCAGUUCUAGCAAGGACACCGCAAAAGCAUGCUAGCUGAUGGAGUACACUUUAUAAUGGGUAAUUUACUGAUGGGACUAUAAUAUGUGGUUACUAAUCGUGGAAUGUCGUGUCAUGAAACUACUGUUACUUUGAAAUAUAAGAAGAGGCGGCAUAUAAAGCUAGUCUUCUCUGUGCA